rnacentral:rRNA from 1 species
GACGAACGCUGGCGGCGUGCUUAACACAUGCAAGUCGAACGAAGUGGCGAACGGGUGAGUAAUACGUGGGUAACCUGCCCUCCUUUUUGGGAUAAGCCUUGGAAACGGGGUCUAAUACCGAAUAAAGGGGGAUGGGCUCGCGGCCUAUCAGCUAGUUGGAGGGGUAACGGCCCACCAAGGCGAUGAUCAGUGGCCGGUCUGAGAGGAUGAACGGCCACAGUGGGACUUAGUCACGGCCCAGACUCCUACGGGAGGCAGCAGUGGGGAAUCUUCCGCAAUGGACGAAAGUCUGACGGAGCAACGCCGCGUGUAUGAAGAAGGCCUUCGGGUUGUAAAGUACUUUCAGCGAGGAGGCGUUACGCGCAGAAGAAGCACCGGCUAACUCCGUGCCAGCAGCCGCGGUAAUUC